CUUAGUAACACAGGCAGACGGAUGCUGAGUGGAUCCUUCGGGUGAAGCGUAGUUAUGAAAGUUCUCCCUAGAAAAGCGAGUAUAGCAGCCAGUACCGCAAACCGACACAGGUAGACGGGAUGAGUAUCCUAAGGCGCUCGGGUGAGCCGUGGAGAAGGAACUAGGCAAAUUGACGCUGUAACUUCGGGAUAAAGCGUACCGUAGCGAUACGGUCACAGUAAAAUGAUUCAACCAACUGUUUAACAAAAACACAGGGCCCUGCAAAAUCGAAAGAUGACGUAUAGAGCCUGAAACCUGCCCGGUGCUGGAAGGUUAAGGAAGGGUGUUCGGCGUAAGCCAAAGCUCCUGACUGAAGCCCCAGUAAACGGCGGCCGUAACGAUAACGGUCCUAAGGUAGCGAAAUUCCUUGUCGGGUAAGUUCCGACCUGCACGAAUGGUCUAAUGAGUUGAAUACUGUCUCCUCCACGAGCCCGGUGAAAUUGUAGUAUCGGUGAAGAUGCCGGUUACCCGCCACGGGACGGAAAGACCCCGUGAACCUUCACUACAACUUUGCAUUGAUUUUGAGCAACCGAUGUGUAGGAUAGUUGGGAGACUUUGAAGCAGUGUCGCUAGGCAUUGUGGAGUCAACGUUGAAAUACCAACCUUCGUUUGCUUAGAACCUAAUCCCUAACGGGAAACAGUGCAUGGUGGGUAGUUUGACUGGGGUGGUCGCCUCCUAAAAAGUAACGGAGGCUUGCAAAGGUGCCCUCAGUACGGUUGGUAAUCGUACAUAGAGCGUAUUAGUAUAAGGGUGCUUGACUGUGAGGCAUACACGCCGAGCAGGAGCGAAAGCUGGCUAAAGUGAUCCGGCGGUUCUGUAUGGAAGGGCCGUCGCUCAAAGGAUAAAAGGUACUCCGGGAUAACAGGCUGAUCUUACCCAAGAGCUCAUAUCGACGGUAAGGUUUGGCACCUCGAUGUCGGUUCGUCACAUCCUGGGGCUGGAGAAGGUCCCAAGGGUUCGGCUGUUCGCCGAUUAAAGUGGCACGUGAACUGGGUUCAGAACGUCGCAAGACAGUUCGGUCCCUAUCUGUGGUGGGCGCUAGUAAAUUGAGUGGACAUGACCUUAGUACGAGAGGACCGGGUUGUACGUGCCGCUGGUGUAUCUGUUGUUCCGCCAGGAGCAAUGCAGAGUAGCUAUGCACGGCAAGGAUAAACGCUGAAAGCAUCUAAGCGUGAAACCUUCCACAAGAUGAGUUUACUUUUAAGGGCUGUCAGAGACUAUGACGUUGAUAGGCUAUAGGUGUAAAGUUGGUAACAGCAAAGCCGAGUAGUACUAAUUGCCCGUAAGCUUUAUCAG
rnacentral:rRNA from 1 species